rnacentral:rRNA from 1 species
UACGUAGGAGGCAAGCGUUAUCCGGAAUGACUGGGCGUAAAGGGUGCGUAGGUGGUUUGACAAGUUGGUAGCGUAACUCCGGGGCUCAACCUCGGCACUACUACCAAAACUGCCAAACUUGAGUGCAGUAGAGGUUAGUGGAAUUCCUAGUGUAGCGGUGGAAUGCGUAGAUAUUAGGAGGAACACCAGAGGCGAAGGCGGCUAACUGGACUGUAACUGACGCUGAGGCACGAAAGUGUGGGGAGCAAACAGG